CGGGGACUAGCCCUUAAGUGGCUUUGAGAUUAGCGGAACGCUCUGGAAAGUGCGGCCAUAGUGGGUGAUAGCCCUGUACGCGAAAAUCUCUUAGUCAUGAAAUCGAGUAGGACGGAGCACGAGAAACUUUGUCUGAAUAUGGGGGGACCAUCCUCCAAGGCUAAAUACUACUGACUGACCGAUAGUGAACUAGUACCGUGAGGGAAAGG
rnacentral:rRNA from 1 species